rnacentral:rRNA from 1 species
CCAGACUCCUACGGGAGGCAGCAGUCGGGAAUAUUGCGCAAUGGAGGAAACUCUGACGCAGUGACGCCGCGUAUAGGAAGAAGGUUUUCGGAUUGUAAACUAUUGUCGUUAGGGAAGAAAAAAGACAGUACCUAAGGAGGAAGCUCCGGCUAACUACGUGCCAGCAGCCGCGGUAAUACGUAGGGAGCAAGCGUUAUCCGGAAUUAUUGGGUGUAAAGGGUGCGUAGACGGGAGUCUAAGUUAGUUGUGAAAUCCCUCGGCUCAACUGAGGAACUGCAACUAAAACUGGACAUCUUGAGUGCAGGAGAGGAAAGUGGAAUUCCUAGUGUAGCGGUGAAAUGCGUAGAUAUUAGGAGGAACACCAGUGGCGAAGGCGGCUUACUGGACUGUAACUGACGUUGAGGCUCGAAAGCGUGGGGAGCAAACAGGAUUAGAUACCCUCGUAC